ACCCGCACACCCCCCGCCCUCCUCACCUCUGACCCCGCCAAGGCCGCAUUGCGACUUUUUUUUUUUUUCUUUUCUCCGAUCCUCCUCCACCGCCUCCGCGGCACCGCGUCCUCUUCCUCCGCCUUCGCCCUCCACCUCCAUUGCAGUAGAUUUUCUACCCGCCAAACAAAUCCGCCGUCCCCACUGCCGCCGCCGGCAACGAAAAGGAAGUGCUUCUCGGGGUCGAGAAACAUGCUGGCGAGGGAGAGGGAGAAAAUAGUUACACUCUUAUGAGGGCAGUGGUUGCGAUAGAGAGCAAUGGAGAGAUCAUGACAAAAAAAAUUAUAGAGAGAGAAAAAAAUAAAAAAUAAAAAUAAAAAAAAUUUCUACAAAAAAGAUAAAAAAUUAUAGAAGAAGGAAGAAGAUGAUGAAAUUAAAUAUUAAAAUAAAGUUACACUGUUUUAAAUAAAAGUUGUACUCUUACACUCUUUGGGAUGAGAGUUACAUUCUUUAGACGAAAGUUGCACUCUUUGGGUGAAAUUUACACCAUUUCUUUUUCUCUUCUUCCACAUCCUCCUUCCCCUCUGCUUUCUCAUCCUCCUCCUCCUUCCUCCUACUUCUUCGUGCUUAC
rnacentral:lncRNA from 1 species